CGANGGNGCUUGCUCCUCUGACGUUAGCGGCGGANGGGUGAGUAACACGUGGAUAACCUACCUAUAAGACUGGGAUAACUUCGGGAAACCGGAGCUAAUACCGGAUAACAUGUUGAACCGCAUGGUUCAACAGUGAAAGACGGUCUUGCUGUCACUUAUAGAUGGAUCCGCGCCGCAUUAGCUAGUUGGUAAGGUAACGGCUUACCAAGGCAACGAUGCGUAGCCGACCUGAGAGGGUGAUCGGCCACACUGGAACUGAGACACGGUCCAGACUCCUACGGGAGGCAGCAGUAGGGAAUCUUCCGCAAUGGGCGAAAGCCUGACGGAGCAACGCCGCGUGAGUGAAGAAGGUCUUCGGAUCGUAAAACUCUGUUAUUAGGGAAGAACAAAUGUGUAAGUAACUAUGCACGUCUUGACGGUACCUAAUCAGAAAGCCACGGCUAACUACGUGCCAGCAGCCGCGGUAAUACGUAGGUGGCAAGCGUUAUCCGGAAUUAUUGGGCGUAAAGCGCGCGUAGGCGGUUUUUUAAGUCUGAUGUGAAAGCCCACGGCUCAACCGUGGAGGGUCAUUGGAAACUGGAAAACUUGAGUGCAGAAGAGGAAAGUGGAAUUCCAUGUGUAGCGGUGAAAUGCGCAGAGAUAUGGAGGAACACCAGUGGCGAANGCNANUUUCUGGUCUGUAACUGACGCUGAUGUGC
rnacentral:rRNA from 1 species